AACCCUUUUUCCCUUUGCUUCACAUUUCCACCCAUAAAUUCUCUAUUGGCCCAAAGAUGUCUGUUUUUGCCAAAUCGAAAAAUAAUUACUUCUCCAUCAAAAUAGAGAACUCUCGUAAGAGAUUUCUUCUCGAGAAUAAGUACACUAAAAAUAAGGAUCCAAAUCACAUACAGAGCUUUCGUGAAGAUUUUGUUCAUAGACUUUCUCAUCUGCUUUUGCAAAUGAUUCUAUAUUAAUUACUCAAGUUUCUUGUAAUAUUCUUGUCGUUCUUUUAAUUUUUCUUACAAUGCUCAGAUAUGUUGUGUAAUGGUCUUCUAGAAUUGGAAAGACGAUGACUGCUUUUGCUGUGCCAUCAGUUUUUUAGGUAUGUUAAUGUCGCAUAUGGAUUUACUUAAGAUUUCUCUAGAUUAUGUUAAUUUCUUUUAGAUAUUUAUAGUCUGCUAAAUUGAUUAAGGAUUCUAUAGAUCUUAUUCUUGAAAGCCAAUUUCUGUUUUAAUAGAAAAAGUACUUUUUGAUGUCAAGCCCAUUAAGAAAAUUUGUAUUUUAGUGAAAUUUAAUAUGAAAUAAGUCGCUACAUAUCUGAGAAUCCUAUCCAGCUACCCAAUGACCUAUAAUGCUACUCGCCAUCAAAUCAGGGCUAAGAGUUUCUGUCUGAAAACUUUUCAAGCUUAUCAAGAAAAGUAAUUUUGUUAUCUUUUUAAAAGCGUGUUAUCGUGCAUACCAUUCUUAACAUCCCCUGAAGGUUGCGCAUCAUUAUUUCCCAUCUUAUCGAUGAUCUCAAAUUCUCAAUGGGCUCUUCUACUAAACUCUCAUUCAUAUAAUUGGUAAUCAUGAAGUUGAAGGGGAGAACUUGUUUUGCAAAUCCCAUAUUACCAACACUAGAGUACAUAGAGAUUAAAGAGCUAUAAAUAUGGGUAUUUGGUUCUAUUCCCUUCUUAAUUGUUUGUGUAUAUACUUGUUUACCUUCAAGCACAGAUUCAACUUGAUACAAGCUUCGGGAACAAAAGUAUAUGUAUGACUAUCCUAUAAUACUUCAUGUGUUACUAAUCCUUCAUAGAGAAACAACGACUCCAUAGGGCGUUCGAUAAAAAUCAUUCCUCUGAUCAUAAUAUUAUAUGAAAAAAAAUGUAUUAGGUGAUUGAAUUGAUGAAUUGAAGACUAAGAAUGUCAUUCUUCCUAAUCCCUAUUCUUAAAUGCACAGAAUUCUUCUCCAAUUCGUCAACUAAUGUGACUAGUUCAAGAGAUGAGCACUUGCUUCUUUGUACAUUCUAAUUGGCAUAGUUUUGCAGUACUCUACAUGCUUUGUUUAGAAAUAAUACAUAUGUUUCAGACCUUAUCUCUGACAUAGAUCGAAGGUAGGAAAGUUACAUGUUUUUAGGGAGGAGAGCAUAAGUUCAUGGAAAUGGAUUACCUGAAAGGAUGAAAGGGAACAACUCUUACAGGAUCUUGAGUGCUUUUUUACUGUAAUUUGCAACCUUGUCAAGAAAACUAAGAGUUCGGACCAAGUAUACGAGAUGGCAGAGCUCAUAUCCAUUACACUGUCCCAACAACCAAGUGAUAAGCUUGAUUUUCACUUAAAAAUGUAUCAUGUCUUGAAAUUAAUAACUUCAAUUCCUAGAUUUUUUUCUGGUGUCACAGCGCAGUUUCUUCUUCCUCUCAUUUCAGAUUGGUCAAUCUCUACAACCAGUUGGAUAAUCCUUAUAGCCGUUUCUUUGUGUAGAUGAAGGCCCUUAAUUUGUCCAUGAAUGAAAAAGUCGUUGAACAUAUCUAUCCAUCUUUCAAAAAAAUAGAUAGCUUUUUGAAAGAGUGGAAUCUUGGAGUUGAAGAUCAGAGAGGGUUGUUUCUUAAGAUCUAAAUCAUUCUGAAGGAAACCAAGGGGACUUCUCCAUGAAGAUUGUCUCGUCUGAUAAGCUCAACCUUGUGCCAUUUGAGCAUGCUGAUAUACCUAACCUUUACGAGAUGAGGGGAGAACAUGGACGUUGAGCUUGCUGGGAGCCAAGUAUCAUAAGUCAAAUAGCUAGCUGGAGUAUUAAUGUCAUUUUCAAAUAAGGCUAUCUGUGGCAUUUCGAGUUCCCCUUAGUGUGGAAGCCACAGGCAAAUAACUUUUUGCAUCUAUCCUAUUUUGUUAUUAUAUUUUAUUUGUUUUCGCUUCUUAAAACUCUUGUUUUAAUCUAUUGUUAAUUUUUUUUGCAAUACUAGAUAAUC